rnacentral:rRNA from 1 species
GACGAACGCUGGCGGCGUGCCUAAUACAUGCAAGUCGAGCGGACCGAAGGGAGCUUGCUCCUUUAGGUUAGCGGCGGACGGGUGAGUAACACGUGGGCAACCUGCCCUGCAGACUGGGAUAACUUCGGGAAACCGGAGCUAAUACCGGAUAACACCGAAAACCGCAUGGUUUUCGGUUGAAAGGCGGCUUUUAGCUGUCACUGCAGGAUGGGCCCGCGGCGCAUUAGCUAGUUGGUGCGGUAACGGCUCACCAAGGCGACGAUGCGUAGCCGACCUGGGAGGGUGACCGGCCACACUGGGACUGAGACACGGCCCAGACUCCUACGGGAGGCAGCAGUAGGGAAUCUUCCGCAAUGGACGAAAGUCUGACGGAGCAACGCCGCGUGAGCGAAGAAGGUCUUCGGAUCGUAAAGCUCUGUUGUCAGGGAAGAACAAGUACCGUUCGAACAGGGCGGUACCUUGACGGUACCUGACGAGGAAGCCACGGCUAACUACGUGCCAGCAGCCGCGGUAA